UACAGAGGUCUCAAGCGUUGUUCGGAUUCAUUGGGCGUAAAGGGUGCGUAGGCGGCGCGGUAAGUCGGGUGUGAAAUCUUGGAGCUUAACUCCGAAACUGCAUUCGAUACUGCCGUGCUUGAGGACUGGAGAGGAGACUGGAAUUUACGGUGUAGCGGUGAAAUGCGUAGAUAUUGGGAGGAAUACCAGUGGCGAAGGCGGCUCACUGGACCGGAACUGACGCUGAGGCGCGAAAGCGUGGGGAGCAGACGGG
rnacentral:rRNA from 1 species